rnacentral:rRNA from 1 species
UACGAAGGGGGCGAGCGUUGUUCGGAUUUACUGGGCGUAAAGGGCGCGCAGGCGGCCAUUCAAGUCAGGCGUGAAAGCCCCGGGCUUAACCUGGGAGGUGGCGUCUGGGACUGGGUGGGCUAGAGAUCGGGAGAGGGAGAGUGGAAUUCCCGAGUGUAGAGGUGAAAUUCGUAGAUAUUGGGAAGAACACCGGUGGGCGAAGGGCGGGUCGC